rnacentral:rRNA from 1 species
GACGAACGCUGGCGGCGUGCUUAACACAUGCAAGUCGAGCGGUAAGGCCCUUUCGGGGGUACACGAGCGGCGAACGGGUGAGUAACACGUGGGUGACCUGCCCUCAGCUCUGGGAUAAGCCUGGGAAACCGGGUCUAAUACUGGAUAUGACUCCAUGACGCAUGUUGUGGGGUGGAAAGCCUUGUGCGGCUGAGGAUGGGCCCGCGGCCUAUCAGCUUGUUGGUGGGGUGANGGCCUACCAAGGCGACGACGGGUAGCCGGCCUGAGAGGCGACCGGCCACACUGGGACUGAGACACCGGCCCAGACUCCUACGGGAGGCAGCAGGUGGGGAAUCUUGCGCAAGUGGGACGAAAGCCUGACGCAGCGACGCCGCGUGAGGGAUGAC